rnacentral:rRNA from 1 species
GCUUCAGCAGCAUCUAUUAAGUUGCUGCGGUUAAAAGGCUCGCAGUUGAAUGUCUGUAUCGAGCGCAGGUCAGGUGGACGUUGGGGCGUGGAAGUACGGGCAGUUGGAUGUGCGUGCUCGCGCGUUGUCACACUCCUUCUCUUCGGAGUUGCCUGUGUGUGUUCUUCGUGUGUCUCGUGUGUUCUUCGGCUUUUCCACACACCCCCGUCCGUGACAAGCCUCCUCGCUCGGGUACAUAACGGGAAUCGGUUAACGGAGUGUAGYUCGAGAUGUGUUGAGUUGGUGGCGUUUGUGUUGGGGCGCAAGUUCCUUCGCUCGGUCGUCUCUCUUCUUGCGUUUCGGCUGCGUUAAGCUCCAUCGGUUUCACGGUCACCUUGAGUAAAUCAGAGUGCUCAAAGCAGUCGUAAGGGCCUUGCGCCCUGUGAACAGUCUUGACGGACUGACUUGGUUUUGCAUGGCAUGUCGGAAGACGACGUCGUGUGCUGGCUCAGAGGAUAAAUCAGUGGUACAAGCCAGCCUCGACGUAAUGAUUAAAAGGGACGGUCGAGGGCAUUGGUAUUGCGAGGCGAGAGGUGAAAUUCUGUGACCCCCGCAAGACCUCCUGAAGCGAAAGCGUUUGCCAAGGACGUUUUCA